GUUAGUCGCUAUGGCAAGUAGCAAGGUGUGUGGGCCGCACUGCUUGCAUAUUCCCGCUCAGGCGACCGCUGUUUGAAAGCAGUGAGAACGAAAAAGCACAGGACUCUGCAUGGAAAUCUUGUCUGGAAGCGGAACGUCCGAAAAUCAAAUGUUAUGAAACGGGGAACACUGCACGGUUGUCCCAUCUGAACAGACAACUUCUGAAACUCUGGCCACUGGGUUAUUGCUGACCUUCCUGCCCUUUUGAAUCAGUUUGGCCAGCAGGAGCAAAUCACGGUCAGCAUGAAAGUCUGUGUGAGGGAAGGCAUUGCUGAAACAGAAGACUCCUGUAAAAACUUACUGCAAUAACUAUAACAAACUUUCAACCUUUAGUCUACCUUCUACUAAAGUAACCUGCACGUCCAUCUAUAAGGAUUAAUGGCAGACAAAACCAAAGGAUGCGUUUUUCCCAAGAAUUCCAAAUGGGCCUUACUGUUGUUUCUCCCUCCUAAUGAAGUAAUGCUAAGCCGCCGGAUCUGUGUUGGAGAGCGCUGCUGCGGUGG